GUGGGUAGUUUGACUGGGGCGGUCUCCUCCUAAAGAGUAACGGAGGAGCACGAAGGUUGGCUAAUCCUGGUCGGACAUCAGGAGGUUAGUGCAAUGGCAUAAGCCAGCUUGACUGCGAGCGUGACGGCGCGAGCAGGUGCGAAAGCAGGUCAUAGUGAUCCGGUGGUUCUGAAUGGAAGGGCCAUCGCUCAACGGAUAAAAGGUACUCCGGGGAUAACAGGCUGAUACCGCCCAAGAGUUCAUAUCGACGGCGGUGUUUGGCACCUCGAUGUCGGCUCAUCACAUCCUGGGGCUGAAGUAGGUCCCAAGGGUAUGGCUGUUCGCCAUUUAAAGUGGUACGCGAGCUGGGUUUAGAACGUCGUGAGACAGUUCGGUCCCUAUCUGCCGUGGGCGCUGGAGAACUGAGGGGGGCUGCUCCUAGUACGAGAGGACCGGAGUGGACGCAUCACUGGUGUUCGGGUUGUCAUGCCAAUGGCACUGCCCGGUAGCUAAAUGCGGAAGAGAUAAGUGCUGAAAGCAUCUAAGCACGAAACUUGCCCCGAGAUGAGUUCUCCCUGAGACUUUAGGUCUCCUGAAGGAACGUUGAAGACGACGACGUUGAUAGGCCGGGUGUGUAAGCGCAGCGAUGCGUUGAGCUAACCGGUAC
rnacentral:rRNA from 1 species